rnacentral:rRNA from 1 species
ACCAGCAGCCAUACCACCCUACAACUCACUUCUGGUAACCCACUGAAGCUUAGCAGGUAUGAGUCUGGUCAGCACCAGGAUGGGAGACCUCCUGGGAAAGCUAAGGUUGCUGCUGGAA